rnacentral:misc_RNA from 1 species
AAGUCGUAACAAGGUUUCCGUAGGUGAACCUGCGGAAGGAUCAUUACCGAUUUUUAGCGGACCUGAUCCUUGGUCAUGGUCUCGCGAAAACUUGUAUUUAAAACCCCACUCUUAUAAAUUGAAUCAUUUUAUUAUAUGUAUUGAUAAAUAAAGAUCACUUUCAACAACGGAUCUCUUGGCUCUC